AUUGAACGCUGGCGGCAUGCCUUACACAUGCAAGUCGAACGGCAGCACGGGUGCUUGCACCUGGUGGCGAGUGGCGAACGGGUGAGUAAUACAUCGGAACGUACCUUAUCGUGGGGGAUAACGCAGCGAAAGCUGUGCUAAUACCGCAUACGCCCUGAGGGGGAAAGCGGGGGAUCGCAAGACCUCGCGCGAUUAGAGCGGCCGAUGCCUGAUUAGCUUGUUGGUGGGGUAAAAGCCCACCAAGGCGACGAUCAGUAGCUGGUCUGAGAGGACGAUCAGCCACACUGGGACUGAGACACGGCCCAGACUCCUACGGGAGGCAGCAGUGGGGAAUUUUGGACAAUGGGGGCAACCCUGAUCCAGCAAUGCCGCGUGAGUGAAGAAGGCCUUCGGGUUGUAAAGCUCUUUUGUCAGGGAAGAAACACCGGCUCUAACACAGUCCGGGAAUGACGGUACCUGAAGAAUAAGCACCGGCUAACUACGUGCCAGCCGCCGCAGUAAAAC
rnacentral:rRNA from 1 species